CACGUAGGCACCAAGCGUUGUCCGGAUUUAUUGGGCGUAAAGAGCGUGUAGGCGGUUCGGUAAGUCUGUCGUGAAAUCCUGAGGCUCAACCUCGGGCGUGCGAUGGAUACUGCCGGGCUAGAGGGUGGUAGAGGCGAGUGGAAUUCCCGGUGUAGCGGUGAAAUGCGCAGAUAUCGGGAGGAACACCAGUAGCGAAGGCGGCUCGCUGGGCCACACCUGACGCUGAGACGCGAAAGCUAGGGGAGCGAACGGG
rnacentral:rRNA from 1 species